rnacentral:snoRNA from 1 species
GCGUCACAACCUCCAUACUGCCCAGUAUUACAGUGCAGCAGCGUGGCAAGGAGAUGCGCACAUUUCUGGGUCUUGCGUGGCUCAUUUUGGGAAGAGCGCCUGUGCAGUGGCGCCUCCCCGCGGGCGGCGUGGCCUCAAAUCU